UACGUAGGGUCCGAGCGUUAAUCGGAAUUACUGGGCGUAAAGCGUGCGCAGGCGGUUUUGUAAGCCCGAUGUGAAAGCCCCGGGCUUAACCUGGGAAUGGCAUUUGGGACUGCAAGGCUGGAGUACGGCAGAGGGAGGUGGAAUUCCACGUGUAGCAGUGAAAUGCGUAGAGAUGUGGAGGAACACCGAUGGCGAAGGCAGCCUCCUGGGCUAGUACUGACGCUCAUGCACGAAAGCGUGGGGAGCAAACAGG
rnacentral:rRNA from 1 species